UACAGAGGGUGCGAGCGUUUGUCCGGAAUCACUGGGCGUAAAGGGCGCGUAGGUGGCGACCCAAGUCGAUGGUGAAAGCUCGCCGCUCAACGGCGAGUCGGCUACCGAUACUGGGUUGCUGGAGCACUGUAGAGGCUCAUGGAAUUCCGGGUGUAGCGGUGGAAUGCGUAGAGAUCCGGAAGAACACCGGUGGCGAAGGCGGUUGAGCUGGGCAGUUGCUGACACUGAGGCGCGACAGCGUGGGGAGCAAACAGGGAU
rnacentral:rRNA from 1 species